GGUCAAGUGAAUAAGCGCAUAUGGUGGAUGCCUUGGCGGUAGAAGGCGAUGAAGGACGUAGUAGCCUGCGAUAAGCCUCGGGGAGUCGGCAAACAGACUUUGAUCCGGGGAUUUCCGAAUGGGGAAACCCACCCUUAGGGGUAUCCUGCUUCGGCAGGAGGCGAACCCAGGGAACUGAAACAUCUAAGUACCUGGAGGAAAAGAAAUCAACCGAGAUUUUCUUAGUAGCGGCGAGCGAACGGGAAACAGCCUUGCAAUCUUUAGCAAACGGUCUAGUGGAAUGGUCUGGAAAGUCCAGCGAUACAGGGUGAUAGCCCCGUACACGAAAGGCAGUUUGUGGAACUAAGUUUGCGAUGAGUAGGGCGGGGCACGAGAAACCUUGUCUGAACAUGGGGGGACCACCCUCCAAGGCUAAAUACUCUCUACCGACCGAUAGUGAACCAGUACCGUGAGGGAAAGGCGAAAAGAACCCCGUUGAGGGGAGUGAAAUAGAACCUGAAACCGUAUGCGUACAAGCAGUGGGAGCACGUUUAUCGUGUGACUGCGUACCUUUUGUAUAAUGGGUCAGCGACUUACUUCUCAGUGGCAAGCUUAACCGUUUAGGGGAGGCGUAGGGAAACCGAGUCUUAAUAGGGCGAAUAGUCGCUGGGAGUAGACCCGAAACCGGGCGAUCUAUCCAUGGCCAGGGUGAAGGUGGAGUAACAUCCACUGGAGGCCCGAACCCACUUAUGUUGAAAAAUGAGGGGAUGAGCUGUGGCUAGGAGUGAAAGGCUAAACAAGCCCGGAGAUAGCUGGUUCUCCUCGAAAGCUAUUUAGGUAGCGCCUCGUGUCUCACCUCAGGGGGUAGAGCACUGUUUCGGCUAGGGGGUCAUCCCGACUUACCAAACCGAUGCAAACUCCGAAUACCUGAGAGUGCAAUCACGGGAGACACACGGCGGGUGCUAACGUCCGUCGUGGAAAGGGAAACAACCCAGACCGCCAGUUAAGGUCCCAAAAUCAUAGCUCAGUGGGAAACGAUGUGGGAAGGCAUAGACAUCCAGGAGGUUGGCUUAGAAGCAGCCACCCUUUAAAGAAAGCGUAAUAGCUCACUGGUCGAGUCGGCCUGCGCGGAAGAUUUAACGGGGCUUAAGCUAUGUACCGAAACUGCGGAUGCCUAUUUAUAGGCAUGGUAGAGGAGCGUUCUGUAAGCCGUUGAAGGCAAACUGUAAGGUUUGUUGGAGGUAUCAGAAGUGCGAAUGCUGACAUGAGUAACGAUAAAGGGGGUGAGAGGCCCCCUCGCCGAAAGCCCAAGGUUUCCUGCGCAACGCUAAUCGGCGCAGGGUUAGUCGGCCCCUAAGGCGAGGCAGAAAUGCGUAGUCGAUGGGAAUCAGGCUAAUAUUCCUGAACUGCUCGUAACUGCGACGGAGGGACGGAGAAGGCUAGGCCAGAACACAGUUGGUUUUGUGUAUCCAAGCGUUUAGGCAGAUCUCUUAGGCAAAUCCGGGAGAUCAAUGCUGAGGCGUGAUGGCGACAGUGCUACGGCACUGGAGUGGUUGAUGCCCUGCUUCCAGGAAAAGCUCCUAAGCUUCAGGUUACGAGUAACCGUACUCCAAACCGACACAGGUGGGCAGGAUGAGAAUUCUAAGGCGCUUGAGAGAACUCUGGUGAAGGAACUAGGCAAAAUUGUACCGUAACUUCGGGAGAAGGUACGCCCUCGACGGUGACGAGACUUGCUCUCUGAGCUGUUGGGGGCCGCAGUGAAAAGGUGGCUGCAACUGUUUACUAAAAACACAGCACUCUGCAAACACGAAAGUGGAAGUAUAGGGUGUGACGCCUGCCCGGUGCCGGAAGGUUAAUUGAUGGGGUUAGCUUCGGCGAAGCUCCUGAUCGAAGCCCCGGUAAACGGCGGCCGUAACUAUAACGGUCCUAAGGUAGCGAAAUUCCUUGUCGGGUAAGUUCCGACCUGCACGAAUGGCGUAAUGAUGGCCACACUGUCUCCACCAGAGACUCAGUGAAAUUGAAAUUGCGGUUAAGAUGCCGUAUACCCGCGGCUAGACGGAAAGACCCCGUGCACCUUUACUACAGCUUCACACUGGACUUUGAACCUAUCUGUGUAGGAUAGGUGGGAGGCUUUGAAGCGGUCACGCCAGUGAUCGUGGAGCCAACCUUGAAAUACCACCCUGGUAUGUUUGAAGUUCUAACCCAGGCGUAACAGCGCCGGGGACAGUGUGUGGUGGGUAGUUUGACUGGGGCGGUCUCCUCCCAAAGAGUAACGGAGGAGCACAAUGAUACGCUAAGUACGGUCGGACAUCGUACGGUUAGUGCAAAGGCAUAAGCGUGUUUGACUGCGAGACGGACAUGUCGAGCAGGUGCGAAAGCAGGUCUUAGUGAUCCGGUGGCUCUGAGUGGAAGGGCCAUCGCUCAACGGAUAAAAGGUACGCCGGGGAUAACAGGCUGAUACCGCCCAAGAGUUCAUAUCGACGGCGGUGUUUGGCACCUCGAUGUCGGCUCAUCACAUCCUGGGGCUGAAGUCGGUCCCAAGGGUAUGGCUGUUCGCCAUUUAAAGUGGUACGCGAGCUGGGUUUAGAACGUCGUGAGACAGUUCGGUCCCUAUCUGCCGUGGGCGUUUGAGAAUUGAGGGAAGCUGCUCCUAGUACGAGAGGACCGGAGUGGACGAACCUCUGGUGUUCCGGUUGUCACGCCAGUGGCAUUGCCGGGUAGCUAUGUUCGGACAGGAUAACCGCUGAAAGCAUCUAAGCGGGAAGCCCCUCCCAAGAUUAGUUCUCACUGACUCCUUGAGAGUCCUGUAGGGCCCUGGAAGACUACCAGGUUGAUAGGCUGGGUGUGGACGUGCAGUAAUGCAUGAAGCUAACCAGUACUAAUUGCCCGUGAGGCUUGACCAU
rfam:Thiolapillus brandeum DNA, complete genome.